rnacentral:lncRNA from 1 species
CCCGCGCCCCCCGGCGGGCGGAGCCCGGCGCCGCGGCCAGGAUUUCCCACCUCGCUCCCGCGACUCCGCUGCGGGUCUGCACACCCGAGGACUCGGGGUACUUAACCGAAACUAGCAAUCCCAGGCGGUACAAGGCCCUCCAUCGUAGGCAAAGCACUACCUGAAUGUAGAUUUGGGCCAUACGUUGGAAAAUAAGACAUGAGAGUAUGCUCCGAUCAACUUUUACUGUUCACUGGACAACUAUUUUGGGAAUUUGCAGACCUAUAAAGCCCAUCUAUAAAUCUCAAGCAUGUCCACUUUCAGAGAAGAGAAAUGCUGACAACCAUUUAGUCUCUGAGGACAACACUUUUAAAGUGUAACAAUGUGGCAUCCAGAGCUUAUCCAGAUGAGCGGAGAGCAAAUGAAUUUCCUUCUGCUCCCCUGUUGAAGAGGAGAGAAAAAUUCUUCAAGCUCACCUGUUCUUCUCAUCGCUGGACCUAUAAAGUGGCAUUAAUCAUCAAGAGUCCAGCAGAAUUGGGAAAGUCAUGUAUGCUGCAAAGUACAUUCCAAAGUCUUAAAAUAUUCUUGUCUUAUCCAC